GACGAACGCUGGCGGCGUGCUUAACACAUGCAAGUCGAACGGAAAGGCCCUGCUUUUGUGGGGUGCUCGAGUGGCGAACGGGUGAGUAACACGUGAGUAACCUGCCCUUUGACUUUGGGAUAACUUCAGGAAACUGGGGCUAAUACCGGAUAGGAGCUCCUGCUGCAUGGUGGGGGUUGGAAAGUUUCGGCGGUUGGGGAUGGACUCGCGGCUUAUCAGCUUGUUGGUGGGGUAGUGGCUUACCAAGGCUUUGACGGGUAGCCGGCCUGAGAGGGUGACCGGCCACAUUGGGACUGAGAUACGGCCCAGACUCCUACGGGAGGCAGCAGUGGGGAAUAUUGCACAAUGGGCGGAAGCCUGAUGCAGCAACGCCGCGUGCGGGAUGACGGCCUUCGGGUUGUAAACCGCUUUCGCCUGUGACGAAGCGUGAGUGACGGUAAUGGGUAAAGAAGCACCGGCUAACUACGUG
rnacentral:rRNA from 1 species